GUCAAUGUAGCUUAAAAACUAAAGCAUAACUCUGAAGAUGUUAAGAUGAGCCCUGGAAAGACUUCAUAGACA
rnacentral:tRNA from 1 species